CAGCCGCCGCGGGAAUACGAAGGGUGCAAGCGUUACUCGGAAUUACUGGGCGUAAAGCGUGCGUAGGUGGUUGUUUAAGUCUGCUGUGAAAGCCCUGGGCUCAACCUGGGAAUUGCAGUGGAUACUGGGCAACUAGAGUAAGGUAGAGGAUAGUGGAAUUUCCGGUGUAGCAGUGAAAUGCGUAGAGAUCGGAAGGAACAUCUGUGGCGAAGGCGACUAUCUGGGCCAUUACUGACACUGAGGCACGAAAGCGUGGGGAGCAAACAGGAUUAGAUACCCCCGUAGUCCCUGUCUCUUAUAC
rnacentral:rRNA from 1 species